UACGUAGGUGACAAGCGUUGUCCGGAUUUACUGGGCGUAAAGAGCUCGUAGGCGGUUUGUUGCGUCGGCUGUGAAAACCUGCGGCUUAACUGUGGGCUUGCAGUCGAUACGGGCAGACUUGAGUUCGGCAGGGGAGACUGGAAUUCCUGGUGUAGCGGUGAAAUGCGCAGAUAUCAGGAGGAACACCGGUGGCGAAGGCGGGUCUCUGGGCCGAUACUGACGCUGAGGAGCGAAAGCGUGGGGAGCGAACAGG
rnacentral:rRNA from 1 species